rnacentral:lncRNA from 1 species
AAGAAGCCUCUACUUUCGGAUCUGAUGGGGAGUCAUCAGUUGGAUUCUCCAACCAACCAUCCCGAGAAGAAGAACCCCUAGCCAUUGAAGAGAAGAAGACUAAAGGAGAUGAAGAAUGACUUAAAAAAGACAAAGGACUUAACCUGAAACUCAAAAAGGAAGACGAGGAGGAAAGAGUCUUCAGACGCUGGGAUGAUCCUCUGGCAAAGCUUCCACCGCAAAAAAAGACAAAUGUAAAGUAAAAGGUUAGCUAAAAGCGACCAUAUAUAUAUAAGAUCCCUUAACGGCCAGGAUCGAAGCAUCCAAAUUAGAGUCUCACCAGAUGUUGACACAUGAUGACAUCUGAGCCGAUAAUUGAUCAAACGGUUUGACGCACCUACUCCAGAUCGAGCCACGUCAUCGUUAUCCACGUGAACAACUCCGAUCCAAUGACAAUCGGACACAACAAAAAUCUAUUUGUCAGAAUCAUAUCAUCCGACACCA